rnacentral:ncRNA from 18 species
UGGGAGCGUCGCGACUGGCGUAGGGUGGGCAACCACCAGGAAGCGGCGUGGAGCUGCCGCCGUCCUCCGGGCGCGGCGC